AAAGGGAGACCUAAUUCAGGUAUAAGACGAAAAAAAAGUAGUCGCUACCAAGAAUCAAUCCCAAAAGGUCGGAGCGAGGCGAAAUUGGCUUUCAAACUAGGUUCUGGGUUCAAACAAGACCUGAAUCAGGAACAAGGGCUAUUAGCUCAGGUGGUUAGAGCGCACCCCUGAUAAGGGUGUGGUCCCUGGUUCGAGUCCAGGAUGGCCCACCUGCACAGGUGGCAAAAACAAGAGAAGCUCCGAAUCAGCACCUUAUCUUACUUACAUAGUAAGAGAGAAUGCUGGCUCUGAGUAAAGAGUCCAGAGGAACCUUGAAAACUGCAUAGAGCUAGGUGAAAAAGCCAAAAAAGAAGACCGCAAG
rnacentral:tRNA from 1 species